CCGGGCUUGAAUUGCAGACUAAUGCGGCAGAGACGCCGCAGUCCUUCGGGAAGUCUGUGAAGGUGCUGCAUGGUUGUCGUCAGCUCGUGCCGUGAGGUGUCGGCUCAAGUGCCAUAACGAGCGCAACCCCUGUCUCCUGUUGCCAUCAGGUUAAGCUGGGCACACUGGAGAGACUGCCGCCGUAAGGUGUGAGGAAGGUGGGGAUGACGUCAAAUCAGCACGGCCCUUACGUCCGGGGCUACACACGUGUUACAAUGGCCGGUACAACGAGAGGGCUGCCCGCAAGGUCAGUCAAAUCCUGAAAACCGGUCUCAGUUCGGACUGGAGUCUGCAACUCGACUCCACGAAGCUGGAUUCGCUAGUAAUCGCGCAUCAGCCAUGGCGCGGUGAAUACGUUCCCGGGCCUUGUACACACCGCCCGUCAAGCCAUGAAAGCCGGGAGUGCCUGAAGUCCGUGACCGCAAGGAACGGCCUAGGGCAAGAUCGGU
rnacentral:rRNA from 1 species